rnacentral:tRNA from 4 species
GCGGGAGUGGCGAAAUUGGCAGACGCACUGGAUUUAGGUUCCAGCGCCGCGAGGCGUGUGGGUUCAAGUCCCACCUUCCGCACCA